rnacentral:rRNA from 1 species
CGCAUCUGUGCAUGCAGCAUAUCAAUAAGCGGAGGAAAAGAAACUAACAAGGAUUCCCUUAGUAACGGCGAGCGAACCGGGAUAAGCCCACCAUGAGAAUCGGUCGCCCUCGGCGUUCGAAUUGUAGUCUGGAGAAGCGUCCUCAGCGGCGGACCGGGCCCAAGUCCCCUGGAAAGGGGCGCCGGAGAGGGUGAGAGCCCCGUUGUGCUCGGACCCUGUCGCACCACGAGGCGCUGUCGGCGAGUCGGGUUGUUUGGGAAUGCAGCCCCAAUCGGGCGGUAAAUUCCGUCCAAGGCUAAAUAUUGGCGAGAGACCGAUAGCGAACAAGUACCGUGAGGGAAAGAUGAAAAGGACUUUGAAAAGAGAGUUAAACAGUACGUGAAAUUGUCAAAAGGGAAGCGUUUGACACCAGUGUUGUUUUCUCGAAAAAUCAAUUAACGAAUGAGCUUAGAUUUUGUGUUGUAUUGACCUUAAUCAGCUUUCUUCACUUUUUCUAGUCUUUUCUUAAUGCACUUUUUGGUUAACAAGUCAACAUCAGUUUCUUUUGUUGUAAAAAGAGUAUUCGGAAGGUGGCUUUCUUUUCGGAGAAAGUGUUUAUAGCCCUAUGACUUCCUAGCAAUCGGAGAGAUUGAGGUCUGCAGCGUAGAUCCUUCGGGGUUAGAUACACUUGUGCUAAGUUAUAGCUUUUUCAUAGACAACUUGUUGACUAUGAUUUAGUCAUGUCGGCUUACUCGCUUAUGCUAUUUUACCUACGCUUAGGAUGUUGAAGACUCUACAGAGAU